rnacentral:tRNA from 2 species
GUCGGGAUAGCUGCAGAUAGAGCAGAGGACUGAAAAUCCUUGUGUCACCAGUUCUAAUCUGGUUCCGGGCA